UGAGGAAUAUUGGUCAAUGGGCGGGAGCCUGAACCAGCCAAGUCGCGUGAGGGAAGACGGUCCUAAGGAUUGUAAACCUCUUUUGUCGGGGAGCAAAGGAGUCCACGAGUGGACAGAUGAGAGUACCCGAAGAAAAAGCAUCGGCUAACUCCGUGCC
rnacentral:rRNA from 1 species